UCUGGGCUCGAGCCUGCCUGGAGCCGCCGCCGGUGCAGAUCUUGGUGGUAGUAGCAAAUACUCCAGCGAGGCCCUGGAGGACUGAUGUGGAGAAGGGUUUCGUGUGAACAGCCGUUGCACACGAGUCAGUCGAUCCUAAGCCCUAGGAGAAAUCCGACGCCUACGGCGACGGGAAAAAUUUUUGAAAAAUCAACCCGUUGAUCGGGCGAAAGGGAAUCCGGUUCCUAUUCCGGAACCCGGCAGCGGAACCGCUGUUUGUCGGGCCCUCACAAGGGGUUCGUCAGGGUAACCUAAAAGGGCCCGGAGACGCCGUCGGGAGCCCCGGAAAGAGUUUUCUUUUCUGCAUGAGCGUUCGAGUUCCCUGGAAUCCUCUCGCAGGGAGAUAGGGUUUGGAACGCGAAGAGCACCGCAGUUGCGGCGGUGCCCGGGAAUUCCCGACGGACCUUGAAAAUCCGGGAGAGGGCCACGUGGAGGUGUCGCGCCGGCUCGUACCCAUAUCCGCAGCAGGUCUCCAAGGUGAAGAGCCUCUAGUCGAUAGAAUAAUGUAGGUAAGGGAAGUCGGCAAAUCGGAUCCGUAACUUCGGG
rnacentral:rRNA from 1 species